CACGCUCUCCGUGAGCAUAAUCUUCGUUCUCUCUCUCUCUCUCUCUCUCCCUCUCUUUGUUGUUGAAACAAGUUGCGGUACAGACUGCGACGGUGUGUUCGAAAAACAAACUAACGUUAUCUCGGCGCAGCGAUGUUAACUUUUCAACGAAAGCACCGAACAGACCAGGAGCCAGUGAAGAAAUAAAGAGGGAUUGACAACGAAAGAGAGGAUGGAGGGAUAGGGUUAGUCUGUAUCAACUGUGCACCCUUAUCAAUUGGAAAAUUGGUGUGUGCAGUGGGAGCGGAAGAGGAGGGGAUUCGACUACGUUCAACUCGAUUUGGUGGGGGAAGAACGAUUAGGUUUACGCGCCUGCUAGGGGCGUACAUAUCAAAGGGUCGACGUAGGGGCUACUAUAUACAGGGAAUAUUAGUUCAGAUACAAUUUUCGUUCUUGAAUUUCGUAGCGGCCAAACCUGGUAGCGAAAGGGAAGGGAUGUUCGGUACAAAAAGCAGGGGCGUAUCCAAGGAAUAGGAUGGGAGGAUCUUUGUGUGCACGUUGUGAGAGAAACCGAAAGAACCAGCAAGUGAAUCAGCGAGAAAGAGUACGGAGAGGAACGAACGUCAGUAAGGAACGGAAGAAGAGCGACUCAGACGUCUAGGGCGCAUGCGUCACUCAUCGUGGGCGUCGGGAAUGUGUUGACACAAGAACUCGAGAGAACUCCGUAGCCCUAAUGCCAUGACGCGACGGCCCGUGUUAUCGUCGAUACGGUUCCCAUACUGCGGGUCCGCCCCGUCCUCGCAAAAUCUGGGUCUUUCAUCCUGACGAAAUCGGGUCUCUGUCGGUGUCAACUCUCUACGGGGAUUGAUGAUUCAGAAAUUACUGUGCAAAUGAUAAACAGAACAAAUAGAAAUGAGUUAGACAUGAAUUGGAGACGUUUUCUAAUCUUCACCUGUGAAUUGUUAUAUACAUAUAUCAUUCGAACAUACAUAUAUAUCUUAUUCGAGUUAAUAUCUGUCUUGACAUAUUCAAUUAUUCACUUGUAAUUUCCUGUGGAACAUUAUUGAAGAAGUAUUCACUGUGGAAUUCUUAUAAAUUUUCAUUGAAGCUUUUUUUCUCUCGCUUCUAGAAACCUAUUUUUCAGGAAACUUUUAUCCGAUGUUUAAAAGCUUGUAUAAGUAUAGAGUUAGCCGCGGAGCUACAGGGAAUGAUGUUCUCCACGCAGUAAAUUUAUAUUGGACUAUAAUCAAAUAAGCUGGCCGCAGAAGAUAUCCAUAUGUCUAAAUUAUCAUCGGUUUCACGAUGCUUUAAAUAUACCGCGCGACAAUGUUCGAUAGGAUAUGACGUAUGAAAUAAUUUUUAGGUUAACAUGCGAUUAUUUAUUUUAGUACCAUAGUUUUGUUUAUUAUACAAAAAUAUAUUAUUUAACAUUGAAAUUAAUAAAAUUGUAAUUGCA